AGCCUACGGGGGGCAGCAGUGAGGAAUAUUGGUCAAUGGGAGAGACCCUGAACCAGCCAAGCCGCGUGAGGGAAGACGGCCCUAUGGGUUGUAAACCUCUUUUGUCGGAGAACAAAACCCGGGACGAGUCCCGGACUGCGUGUAUCCGAAGAAAAAGCAUCGGCUAACUCUGUGCCAGCAGCCGCGGUAAUACGGAGGAUGCGAGCGUUAUCCGGAUUUAUUGGGUUUGAAGGGUGCGUAGGCGGUCCGUUAAGUCAGCGGUAAAAUUGCGGGGCUCAACCCCGGCGACCCGUUGACACUGGCCG
rnacentral:rRNA from 1 species